UGCGUAGGCGGCCCUUUAAGUCGGAUGUGAAAGCCCGCGGCUUAACCGCGGAAUGGCAUUCGAAACUGGAGGGCUUGAGUGUCGGAGAGGGUAGUGGAAUUCCCAGUGUAGCGGUGAAAUGCGUAGAUAUUGGGAGGAACACCAGUGGCGAAGGCGACUACCUGGACGAUAACUGACGCUGAGGCACGAAACGCUAGGGGAGCAAACA
rnacentral:rRNA from 1 species